rnacentral:rRNA from 1 species
UACGAAGGGGACUAGCGUUGUUCGGAUUUACUGGGCGUAAAGCGCGCGUAGGCGGGUUGUUAAGUCGGGGGUGAAAUCCUGGAGCUCAACUCCAGAACUGCCUUCGAUACUGGCGACCUUGAGUCCGGGAGAGGUGAGUGGAACUCCGAGUGUAGAGGUGAAAUUCGUAGAUAUUCGGAAGAACACCAGUGGCGAAGGCGGCUCACUGGCCCGGUACUGACGCUGAGGUGCGAAAGCGUGGGGAGCAAACAGG